GUCGACUCGUUUAGAACACUAUCACCCUAGAACCCGGUUGGACCAGCGUCGAAACAUUUGUGGAGAUUAUAGAGUCGGUGCUAGGGCAUCGUCUUCCUUCUCAGACCUCAUCAACAUUCGCACAUCUUUAAAUCAAAUAAUAAUAUCUAUCUGCGUCACCAUUCGUACGGUAUUCCCUCUCAAUUCUGAUUCUGAGAUACGAAUACGUUAAAGUUUGAAGAAAUUAGGGUUUCAGGGAUCCAGGUUACGAUUCGAAAGCGAAUUAUCUGUUUAGGUUAAUAAGAGUUGAGAUAUGGAGGAUUCAAAGCAGGAUUCGAAGCAUAAGUCUAGCAAGAAGGAUGAUUAUGUGAAAAAAGAUGAGGAAUUGAAGAGAGGGCAUCGUGAUAAGGAGCGUAACGGUGACCGACGUAGAGACCGGGAGAGGGAGAGAGAUAGAGAGAGGGAAAGAGAAAGGAGUGUUGAUGAGAAACAUAAGGAGAGAGAGAAGCAUAAAGAGAGGCACAGAGAUAAGGAUAAGGAGAAAGAGAGGGAUAGGGAGAGGAAGGAAAGGGAGAGAGAGAAGGAACGGGAGCGCGAACGUGAACGCGAACGUGAACGGUUGAAGGAGAAAGAGAACAGAGAGAAGGAGCGAGAACGGGAGAAGUUGAAAGAGAGAGAAAGGGAGAAGGAGAGGGAGAGGGAAAGAGAGAAGGAAAGGGAAAGGAGGGAGAGAAGAGAGAGGGAAGAACGAGACAGAGAAAAGAUGAGGGAAAAACGUAGAGAAGCUGAACGGGAUCAUAACGGUGGUGACGUAGAUGAUGGCAAGGAUAGAGAUAGAAAAAGGCGUAGGAGGGAAGAUGAUUACAAGGAGAGUAGUAAGGUUUCUAGCAGACGGAGGGAAGGUAGUGUGGAUAUCAGUUCGGGGAAGAAGGUUGAUGAAGAUUCUUCCGAUAAGAAAGUGUCGAGGACCCGUGAAGAAGAUAUGGAGGAAGAACAACGGAAGUUGGAUGAUGAAAUGGAAAAACGGAGGAGGAGAGUGCAGGAAUGGCAGGAAAAACGAAGAAAGAAAGAGGAAUCUGAAAGAGAACAACUUGGAUUAACUAGUGAGACUGCUGGUAAAACAUGGACUUUAGAUGGCGAGUCUGAUGAUGAAGAAGCUGUUCCUGUUGAGAAUGCAGAUGCUGACAUGGAUUUGGAUGGCAAUGCGAAGGACGUCAAUCAAGACGGAGACGUUACGGUUAAUGGAUUAGAUAAUGGUGAUACUACCCAUGCUUCGCAGAACGGUGGUGAUAUGGAAGAAGAUGAAAUUGAUCCUUUAGAUGCUUUUAUGGACACCAUGGUGAUACCAGAAGUUAACAAGUUAAUAAACACUGCGGUUUCUGGUUCAGAUCAUAAGAGUUCCGACUUAGAGAAAGAUGACAAGAAUAAGGAUAACGAACAGCAGAAAAAGAAAAAGACCGGUGGCCGAUCAAUGGGGAGGAUUAUUCCCGGUGAAGAUUCUGAUGAAGAUUAUCCAGAUGUUGAAAAUGAUGAUGAUCCUUUAGAAGAUGAAGACGACGACGAGUUUAUGAAACGAGUGAAAAAAACCAAGGUUGAGAAAUUAUCACUUGUUGAUCACUCAAAGAUCAAAUACAUUGAAUUCCGAAAGAAUUUUUACAUCGAAGUAAAAGAGAUAAAGAAAAUGACUCAAGAAGAGGUUGCUGCUUACAGGAAGGAACUGGAACUGAAAGUACACGGAAAAGACGUACCCAAGCCAAUUAAAACGUGGUACCAGACCGGACUCACGACGAAAAUUUUAGAGACAAUUAGAAAGCUCGGUUACGAUAAACCAAUGUCUAUUCAAGCACAGGCUUUGCCAGUCAUAAUGAGUGGUCGAGAUUGUAUAGGCGUUGCAAAGACCGGUUCUGGUAAAACCCUAGCUUUUGUUUUACCGAUGUUGAGGCAUAUAAUGGAUCAACCAGAACUCGGUUCUGGAGAUGGGCCCAUUGGGCUUAUAAUGGCACCUACCCGAGAGCUUGUUCAGCAGAUUCACAGUGAUAUAAGAAAGUUCACUAAGGUAAUGGGUCUUCGCUGCGUGCCGGUGUAUGGUGGUUCCGGUGUUGCCCAACAAAUCAGUGAGUUGAAGCGAGGCGCGGAAAUUGUUGUUUGUACGCCAGGUAGGAUGAUUGAUAUUCUAUGUACGAGUGCUGGGAAAAUCACGAAUCUGAGAAGGGUUUCGUAUCUGGUUAUGGAUGAAGCUGAUCGUAUGUUUGAUAUGGGUUUUGAGCCACAAAUCACCCGAAUUGUGCAAAAUACCCAACCCAAUCGCCAGACUGUACUUUUUUCUGCCACAUUUCCUCGCCAGGUGGAGGUAUUGGCCCGGAAAGUUCUUAACAAACCCGUGGAGAUACAGGUAGGCGGAAGAAGCGUUGUGAAUAAAGACAUAGCCCAGCUAGUGGAAGUGAGGCCCGAAAACGAAAGGUUUUUUAGACUUUUAGAGUUACUUGGAGAAUGGUAUGAAAAAGGUAAGGUUUUGAUAUUUGUUCAAUCACAGGACAAAUGUGAUGCUUUAUUUAGGGAUUUGCUUAAACACGGAUAUCCGUGUUUAUCGCUUCAUGGGGCUAAAGAUCAGACGGAUCGAGAAUCAACCAUUUCUGAUUUCAAGAGUAACGUAUGCAAUUUAUUGAUUGCAACAAGUAUUGCUGCUAGGGGUUUGGAUGUUAAAGAGCUUGAACUUGUGAUUAAUUAUGAUGUACCAAAUCAUUACGAAGACUAUGUUCACCGUGUUGGCCGUACAGGGAGGGCAGGGAGAAAAGGGUGCGCUAUCACGUUUUUGUCGACUGACGAUGAAAGAUAUGCACCGGAUCUUGUAAAAGCUUUAGAGUUGUCGAAUCAAGUUGUUCCCGAUGAUUUGAAAGCUCUUGCUGAUGGGUUUAUGGCGAAGGUUAAUCAGGGACUUGUGCAAGCUCAUGGUACCGGUUACGGUGGAAGCGGUUUUAAGUUCAAUGAAGAAGAAGAUGAAGUCAGAAAAGCAGCGAAGAAAGCACAGGCCAAAGAAUAUGGAUUUGAAGAAGAUAAAUCGGAUUCAGAAGAUGAUGAUGACGGGGUGCGAAAAGCAGGUGGUGAUAUUGCUCAGCAGGCUGUUCUUGCUCAAGCUGCCGCUCUUGCUGCCGCCAGUCAACAGCCUCCUACUAGUGGGGUACCUAUAUCUCUGCCAGGUAUUCUCGGUAUGGCGGGUGUUGCUGGCGGCAAUGAUGGUGCUGCUAGGGCUGCAGCACUGGCUGCUGCCAUGAACUUGCAGCACAAUCUGGCUCGGAUUCAAGCUGAUUCUUUGCCGGAACAUUAUGAAGCUGAGUUGGAGAUUAACGAUUUCCCGCAAAACGCUAGGUGGAAGGUGACACAUAAAGAAACCCUCGGACCAAUUGCUGAGUGGACUGGGGCUGCUAUUACCACUAGGGGUCAGUAUAUUCAACCCGGCAGGAUCCCGGGACCCGGCGAGAAAAAACUAUAUUUGUUCAUUGAAGGUGCUACCGAACAAUCUGUUAAACGGGCCAAAGCCGAAUUGAAACGUGUUCUAGAAGACAUCACAACACAGGCAUUAUCUCUUCCAAACGCACAGCCAGGGCGUUACUCUGUUGUAUGAGAAUCAGACUCGGCUCGUGCAUACAGGAGGAUCCAGCUUGCACAUGUGUAGAGCAAUUUAUACAUUUGCUUUUAUUGGCUGCCUGCAGAUGGCGAUCACAAACCUUUUUUCCCACUAAGAAAAUGUUGGUUGGGGAAACGACCUAACGGGCUUUUCUUGCUUCUUUGACAGUGUUCUGAAGUUGUCACCUAUUUUCUCACCACAAUCAUGCAUGUGACACAUGAUAUUUUAUCAACAUGCAUUAUAGACUAGAAUAGUUCUUUUUAUUUAUGAUAUAUUGCCAAUUACGGUUGGUAGAUUCAACCACAGUGUUCCUUCAGUAAUGUGGCAACUAUCUAUAGUGUUACAUAGUAGGAUUAUAACUUAAUAGCAUCAAUCAAGCGCAUGAAUGUUGAUGGAUCAGUUAAAUCUAAGGGAUCUGUGUUAUUGAAGAGUAGUUUUCGGCUUUAGGACUAUAUGUGUUAUUCAUCAUAUGUGAGUCGUAUGUUUAAGAAUCGAGGAAAAACAUCUUUAGUUGGUUUGAACUCAUUCAUUGUGAAUAGUAUGUAAUGUUUGUCACUGUGUUUCAUACUUCAAUGGUUUCGCUCGUUUGUGCUGUUAUGGUUUAUUAAAAAAUAUAUAUUAAUUAAUCCUUCCAGCCCCAUGCAAAUUUCUAUAUUUAAGAGAUUAGUUCUGCAUGAUUUACAUUGCUACAUUCUCCUUUAUUGGUAUUUGAUUUUUGUACCAUAACAUUUUCAUCAUUGAUAUUUAAUGCAGUUUUAAAUUGUAUCAUGUGUAAUGUUAAAAAAAGUAAUACUUGGUUCUUUUUACAUGAAUAGCAGCCAAUUUGUUAUUUUAUACUUUCUUAAUACUUCAUUAAUUCUGACAAUUCUAGAAUUUCAGGUUAUAGAUCGUCUUUAUGGAGCUUGUUGCGUAACAUCAAACGCUAUUUCAUUCAAGAACUAUACAUUGUUGGGAGUACAAAUUCACUUGUGAAUUGUGAUGAUACUGCUUUACUCCACCAGCUCCUUCGGUUUGUUUUUAUUUCCUUGUUAUUAGUACUGUUUACUAUUUUGCGAAUCCUACUGGGAGUGUGUUCAACCGUUCUUAUGUAAUACUUUUACAAAACAAAUCUUGGAUCAUACUCUCUGCUGAUACAUUGAGAUGUGAUUUUGCAUGGCCUAUGUAUGUUUAAUCAAUGCUCCUAGCAUCAGAUUUGCAUAAUCUUCAAUAUUAGCGCUAAAUUGUUUCAA